CUGUCUGCUCUGUGCCUCUGAUUGGCAGGGCUGUUUUACUGCUUAUCUUAUAGCCUCUUCCCAUCCUCUUCCAAGGAAAAGAUUAACACUGUUGGGAGGUUUUGGAACAUAUCCAGGGUGCCUCCUGCCUUCCUGAAGUCACUGGUCCUGCGUUCUCCCAUCUCCAUAUUCCUCUACAGACAAAUCAGUAAUGACAGAGAAACAGACAUGAACCUAGACCGGCAGCUGGAGGGCAGCACUCUGUCUCAUCUUAGACUCGAAUCAAGAAGCCCUGUGGAUCAUGGACAGAAGCCUCUGCAACCUAAGGUUCUCCAUUGUCCUUUCACAUCGAAGACUUCCUGGAACUCCUAGGCAAUCGCCUGAAAAGUAUCAGCAAGUCAUAUCCAUCUUCAGCCUUGGGCCCAGGAUGUCUGCUGCCUGCUCCCAGAAAAGAAGCCAUGUUGGGCGUACAAACUAAAUACAGAACAUGACCAAAAGGCAAAGGAUGUUUCCAAAAGGGAAACUGCAAACUGAGACAAUAGUUUUGCAGAUCAAUAGGAAGCCUUUAAAGGCCCACUGAUGAGCUGGCCUACAGGGAUGCUAGUCUUCUGUAAGAGGAAGAGAAAACGAAUCAAUACGAUGUGAAACUGAUAUUAAAUGGCUGCGAUUCACCCCCAGGCACUGCUUCCCAAGCUAAUUCUCUUAUUGGACAUACUCUUUGCUUUUCUCCCUCUGUGAUGGGAUAUUAGGACUCUAGAAUCUGAGCAAUAGGCCUUCAGUUGCUCCUAGGAAGCUUCAAGU
rnacentral:lncRNA from 1 species